GGGAGGACAGCAUAGUUGGUUGUUUACUGGUUGCUCUUAGGGAUUUUAUCCAUUAUUCUUUGUGUCUCACGGGCAUGUUGAAGCCAUAUGUGAAGCUGAUCAAGCUACUCCAAGAGUAGCUCCCCCCCGAGCCUGCAGGCUGGAUGUCAGUUGCUGGAGGCAGUGCUCCAUGUGUUCCUCCUGUCUUUCUCCAAGAGCCUCACAGGCACUGUGACGGACUAGGUUCUGCGCCAGACAACAUUUUCAGAAGCGCAUUCCAUCCUGUGGCCUUUAGGGAUGCAUGGUCUCCCCCCAGCUUCAUGUGGCCAAAUGUGCAUCCAUCAUACCAUGAAAAGGUGACAACCAUGGAGUCCGAGAAUGCAAGAACAUGUCUUCUACUGCCAAGGACCAGCUGACACCCACAGAGGCACAGAAUGGGAAAGGCUGCAUGCACCGAAAGGGAGGAAGUUUAUAAAAAGAUUUUUGUUUUCAUUCAUGCUGUGACCUAAGUAACGUCCCAGUUUAAACAUUAAACUCGAGGUCAUUAACUUGUCACAAUGAUUUCUAGUUUAAAAUUUUAUAGUAAAAUAAGAGUUAAGAAGGCAUGAAAAGGCUCAUUAAUUGAUAUGAUAAAGCUUGCUGAAAUGUAACCCUUUCCAUACUUCAUAUAGCUAGAGACAUUGAUUUUAAGUUACAUUGUUGAAACUACAUGCAUCGUUUAAGCCAGUGACUGAUUCAUACCUUAAAGAUGAGACUAUGUAAAAAAUGCAUUUCCAAGAAAAUAAAAUAUCAGGGGUUUGGUUCCUCUUUUGCUAAACCUGAAUAUAUUUUGUGAAAUUAUAGUUUGUUACUUAGAAAAUGUAGGAGAAACAGGCAAUUAUAUGUUGCUCAUUGAGUUGCAAUCUGAUGUCUGUAGCAGAUGAUUUACACAAGAAAAUUGACCAUGUCUCAAGCAUUACUAUUAAUUUUUGCACUUUAAAAUAGGCAUAA